UCCGUCCACCCAGGGCUCACCUGGGUGGACAACAGGGGCGGAACCGGAUUCUAGUGGGGCGGGGGAUGAGGGAGGAGCGGUUCAGUCAUCCCUCAAGGUUCUCACUUUGAGAUCUGGCAGAGCCUGGAGCUCCGUACUCUGCUGAUGGUGUCUGCUUCCCUCAGACCAAGUUGUUAUUAGCAGAAUUCUGGAGCCAUGGUGUCUCAAUCAAUCCAAUUUUCCUGGUGUCCUGAUAUUACCCCUGGGCUACUGGCUUCGUGUUUUGAGUUGAUUUUGGGAGUAGAGCACAGCAGCCUGGGCUUGAUUGUCACUUUGGCAGCUACAGCAUUCACUGCAGCUGUGAACGGUAGCAGUGAAAGCAUACAUCAAUGACUUGCUCCUGACGAGAAUGGGAAUGCUUCUAACAUUUCACAUUCAAGAGAAGGAGCCUUGGAGAAUUCGUUGAAUAAUUGCCCGUAUUUUGGGAUUAUUUGGAAGAGUUAAUAUGGUGAUUCGUUUUCCCUGACCACUUGGGGGAACUGACCCACAAAACUGCCUGCCUUAGAACGGUAGAGGGUGGAUUGAGCUUUAAAUACAUUUUCAGUUUGUGGACGUACCAUUGGUUUUAUCCAUUCACCAAUUGGAAAAAGUAUUGAUUGUCAAUUUCAAAUAAGCUGCUAUAUAUGUUUUUGUGUACGUGAUUUUGUGUGUAUGAACCUGUUUCCAAUUUUCCUUGAUAAAACCUAGGAGUACAAUUGCUGUGUGUAAUGGUAAGUCUAAGUUUUGCUAUAUUAGAAAUAGCCAAAGCCCCUUCUAGAGUGAAUGUGUUCUUUUUCUUCUCUACCAGCAAUGAAAGAGAAUGCCACAUCUUUUGUACAAUUUGGUAUUUUCAGGUUGUUGCAUUGUAUCAAUUGUAACAGGUGGGUAGAAGAAUGUUACUGCUGUUUACAUUUGUAUUUUUAUUGAAUAAUUAUGGUAAUCAUCUUUUCAUAUGCUUUUUUGUGAUCUGUGUAUCUUCAUUGGUGAAGUCUUGAAAUCAUUUACUAUUUUAUUGGACUCUUCAUUUUUAUGUGGUUGCAUGUUAUAAGGUGUUUAUUCAUUCAGUAUAUGAAUCCUUUAUCCGACACGGGGUUUACAAGUAUUUUCUCCCCAUUUUUGGCUUUUUUCCCCAUUCCUUUAAGUGUUUUUUUUUUUUUAGUAAACAUUUUAGAGUAAUUUUAAAUUUACAGAAAAGUUGCGAAGACAGUUAAGAGGGUUUUCCUAUACAUCAUGUCCAGUUUCUCCUAUUAUUAACAUCAUGCAAUAAUAUGAUACAUUCUUCAUAAUUCAUAAAUCAAUAUUCACCUGCACAUUCCUGUCAUUGUUUGAGGAUCCCAUCUAGGAUACCAUGCUACUUUAGUCUAAGCUGUGAUAGUUUCUCAGACUAUUCUUGUUUUUGAUGACUUUAACAGUUUUGGGGAGUAUCGAUCAGGCUAUUUGUGGAAUUACCCUCAUUUGGUAUUUGUCUGAGUUUUUUCAUAUAUAGACUUGAGUAAUGGCUUUGGGGUAGGAGACCAGAGAGGCGAAAUGCCAUUCUCAUUACACGAUAUUUUAGCAACAUGACUCAUCGCUGUUGAUGUUGACUGAUGAACUGGCUGAGGUAGUGUUGUCAGGAUUUCCCUCUGCAAGGUUAUUACAUUCCCCCCUUUCUGUAUUGUGCUUUAUAAAAGAAAGUCACUAAGGGCAGCCAUUGGGUAGUAGGGAAGUAUGGUCCACCUUCUUGGGAAGGGGUAGUAUUGACAUGAAUGAUUUGGGAUUCUUCUCAAUGGGAGAUUUGUUUAUUCUCCCCCAUUAUUUGUAUUUAUUUAACCUUCAAUUUGUCUCGGCUGAACUCAUGGUAAUUUAUUAUAUGUUUGGGGUUAUAAUUCAACACCACUUUUAUUUUGCUGCUCAGAUUGUUCCAUCUUUGUCCAUUGGAAGCUCUUUCAGUUGGCUCUGAUGUCCCCUUCACGUAACUGAGCCAUUACAUUUGUUUGUAGCUCUGUCUUACUUUAUGGUAUGACAAGAUGAUGCAGGCUCAUUUUUAUAUUUCCUGUUCCAGUCAUAGAAGAGUCAAUUUUCCAUGGUUUCUGCUUCCUUUUAUGGGAGAAGAGUAUUGGAAUGUGAGAGGUGGGUGCUUGGCAUGCUCAUUGUUCCUGAGGAUUUGUUAUUCCUAGCCACCUCAAUUCUCAGAGUAAAGAUAUAUAUUUUGGUAUAUUAACCUGUGUAUAUACACAUAUCUAUAAUCAGAAUUCUUAAACCCAGUCCCUGUGAGAAAUAGCUUUAGAAGCCAGACAAUACUGCUUCAGUACAGUUUCUUUUAACUUCGGUCCCAGAGACUAACUUCCACAGGUACUUAGGACAGCACCAUAUCCCCAGAUACUCAUUAGAGGUUGUUUCAUAGAUUUGUAACACAGUUAUAUUGUUUUGUCAUAUUCUAUACUCCACCUUGGCAUUCCUCGACCUCCUAAUUUUUUCAAUUUUGCAUACAUUGAGGUUUACUCUUUGUGCUUUAAGGUUUUAUGCUUUUUGACAAAUGCAUAAUAUAUUCCAUUUUUUGACAGCAUGUCAUCAACCAUGACAUGACAAAAUCAAUCAUUACAGUAGCCUAGAGAAUAGUUUCACCUGUCUAAUAAAUUCCUUCUGCUUAUCCUAGUCAUACCUUUUCCCCACCCCUGAUCCCUGGCCACAACAGGUAUUUUUACUGUCGUUAUAGUCUUGUCUUUCCAGAACGUCAAAUAAAUUGCAUCAUAUACUAUGUAGUCUUUUCGGACUGGCUUCUUUUACUUAGAAUUAAGCAUUUAAGAUUUAUUCAUGUUUUUGUGUGCCUAGAUAAGUAAAUAUUUUGGUUGAUGAAUAGUGUUCUGUUGUUGUUGGACCACAGUUUGUUUAUUCAUCUGUCUCUUGAAGAACAUCUUUGUUGUUUCCAGUUUUGGCCAAUUAUUAAAUAAGCUGCCACACCCAUUCAUAUGCAGGUUUUUUUUGUGGGCAUAAAUUUGCAAAUUAGUUCAAUGUAUACCUAGGAGUGUCAAGAAUUUGUUCAGCUUUGUAAAAAAAUCAACUGACAAACCAUCUUUGAAAGUGGCUGUACUACUUUGCAUUCCCAACAGCAACAAAUGAGAGUUCCUUGUUGCCAGGAAUUGGUAUUGUCAGUAUUUGGAUUUUGGACAUUCUAAUAAGUGUGUAUCUUUGUUAUUUAAUUCAUAAUUCUCUAAUAAAGAAUGACAUUGACUAUGUUGUCUUAUGCUUAUUUUUU
rnacentral:lncRNA from 1 species